GAUGAACGCUGGCGGCGUGCCUAAUACAUGCAAGUCGAGCGAACGGACGAGAAGCUUGCUUCUCUGAUGUUAGCGGCGGACGGGUGAGUAACACGUGGAUAACCUACCUAUAAGACUGGGAUAACUUCGGGAAACCGGAGCUAAUACCGGAUAAUAUUUUGAACCGCAUGGUUCAAAAGUGAAAGACGGUCUUGCUGUCACUUAUAGAUGGAUCCGCGCUGCAUUAGCUAGUUGGUAAGGUAACGGCUUACCAAGGCAACGAUGCAUAUCCGACCUGAGAGGGUGAUCGGCCACACUGGAACUGAGACACGGUCCAGACUCCUACGGGAGGCAGCAGUAGGGAAUCUUCCGCAAUGGGCGAAAGCCUGACGGAGCAACGCCGCGUGAGUGAUGAAGGUCUUCGGGUCGUAAAACUCUGUUAUUAGGGAAGAACAUAUGUGUAAGUAACUGUGCACAUCUUGACGGUACCUAAUCAGAAAGCCACGGCUAACUACGUG
rnacentral:rRNA from 1 species